GAUGAACGCUGGCGGCGUGCCUAAUACAUGCAAGUCGAGCGAACGGACGAGAAGCUUGCUUCUCUGAUGUUAGCGGCGGACGGGUGAGUAACACGUGGAUAACCUACCUAUAAGACUGGGAUAACUUCGGGAAACCGGAGCUAAUACCGGAUAAUAUUUUGAACCGCAUGGUUCAAAAGUAAAAGACGGUCUUGCUGUCACUUAUAGAUGGAUCCGCGCUGCAUUAGCUAGUUGGUAAGGUAACGGCUUACCAAGGCAACGAUGCAUAGCCGACCUGAGAGGGUGAUCGGCCACACUGGAACUGAGACACGGUCCAGACUCCUACGGGAGGCAGCAGUAGGGAAUCUUCCGCAAUGGGCGAAAGCCUGACGGAGCAACGCCGCGUGAGUGAUGAAGGUCUUCGGAUCGUAAAACUCUGUUAUUAGGGAAGAACAUAUGUGUAAGUAACUGUGCACAUCUUGACGGUACCUAAUCAGAAAGCCACGGCUAACUACGUGC
rnacentral:rRNA from 1 species